CCAUUUUCCCCAUUAACUUUGUCCCAGGAGAAUAAUUUCUCCCAUUUUCCCCCUUUCUCACUCUCGGCUGUCUCUCUCUCCUCUCCAUCCGAAACUUUCUCUUCUCUCUUCUCUCUUCGAUUUCAUCUACCUAGGGUGUGAUUCCGGACAAGACCCGAGAAUUAAAGUUGCUAUUCGGAGUACGGGCUUUCUGAAUAUCCAAGAAAAAUCAUGAUCGGACCUCGUGGGAGCUCGGUUGACUUGGUCAAAGGGUCGGGUUUUGCUCAAACCCAUGAGGUACGAUUCAAGGAAGUUGGCAUGAAGUACUUGUUGUGCAUUUGUGACCAAACCUUUAGAAAGGUAUUCAACAAGGAUUUCAUAGCACAAGAUUUGAAAGAGCAUUUUUUUGGAAAGAUAGUAUUUGUAAAUUGUAAUAAUAUUUCCCUAGGAUAUUGGUAUUUUGAUAAUUUGGGGCCUUUGAGUUGGAAUGUAAUAUUUGAAUUUUAUUUGAGAACAGUGAACAAAAAGAUCUUUUGGGGUAUUAUUUGUAUUACAGCGAUGACUUUAUUUAUUAAAAGUGUUUAUUAUUUAUGUUGAAAA